rnacentral:misc_RNA from 1 species
GAUGAAGAACGUAGCGAAAUGCGAUAAGUAGUGUGAAUUGCAGAAUUCAGUGAAUCAUCGAAUCUUUGAACGCACAUUGCGCCCCUUGGUAUUCCAUGGGGCAUGCCUGUUCGAGCGUCAUUUCAACCCUCAUGCCCCUAGGGCGUGGUGUUGGGGAUCGGCCAAAGCCCGCGAGGGACGGCCGGCCCCUAAAUCUAGUGGCGGACCCGUCGUGGCCUCCUCUGCGAAGUAGUGAUAUUCCGCAUCGGAGAGCGACGAGCCCCUGCCGUUAAACCCCCAACUUUCCAAGGUUGACCUCAGAUCAGGUAGGAAUACCCGCUGAACUUAAGCAUAUCAAUAAGCGGAGGA